rnacentral:tRNA from 1 species
AGGUUGUAGCUAAGCGGUAGAGUGCUUGCUUGGCAUGUGUAAGGUGCUGGAUUUGAUCCUCAGCACCACAUAAAAAUAAAUAAAUAAAAUAAAGGUAUAAAAAGUGAUAUCCUUCAAAUUAAAGAGCUUUUAAAAAACAAAGAAUGAAGAUUUUGGUAGAGUACUUGCCUUGCAUGCAUGAGGCCCUAGGUUUGAGCCCUAGUGCUG